GACGAACGCUGGCGGCGUGCUUAACACAUGCAAGUCGAACGGCAAGGCCCUGCUUUUGUGGGGUGCUCGAGUGGCGAACGGGUGAGUAACACGUGAGUAACCUGCCCUUGACUUUGGGAUAACUUCAGGAAACUGGGGCUAAUACCGGAUAGGAGCUCCUGCUGCAUGGUGGGGGUUGGAAAGUUUCGGCGGUUGGGGAUGGACUCGCGGCUUAUCAGCUUGUUGGUGGGGUAGUGGCUUACCAAGGCUUUGACGGGUAGCCGGCCUGAGAGGGUGACCGGCGACAUUGGGACUGAGAUACGGCCCAGACUCCUACGGGAGGCAGCAGUGGGGAAUAUUGCACAAUGGGCGGAAGCCUGAUGCAGCAACGCCGCGUGCGGGAUGACGGCCUUCGGGUUGUAAACCGCUUUCGCCUGUGACGAAGCGUGAGUGACGGUAAUGGGUAAAGAAGCACCGGCUAACUACGUG
rnacentral:rRNA from 1 species